UAGAAGACAAAAAGCAGGGUUAGUAAAUUUAGAGACUUUCCCAGAACUAUAGACUUUGAUGCAUUAGUCUUUGUUUUAGUUUUGGCAGGUGGUGCUGUCUAUGUGCUAAGUUGGAUGACCCGAAUGGUACUUCCAUCAUGGAGUCAGUUGUGCUAAGGUCUGAAGGUCUACCUUAGUCUGGGGCCCUGUUAUAGUCAUUGUGUGAAGGAAGCUAGCCAACUUGGGAGUAGAUGCUUGUACCACACAGCCAAGUGCAGGUUACAGCUGCUGACCUUCUGUCUUCAUGGGCAGGCCCCUGACUCAGCUAGGGUAGGGGUUCACCUCUGUGCUCCACUUCUGUUUAAUGCAUCCAACUCUGGCCCUGCUGCACUGUCAGCCAUCUGUGAGCUUGUUUCUGCGCUGAGGGGUGCUGAGUUCUAGAAUCAUCCAUGAAAGCCAAUUAAGAUCUUGAAGUUGGUUGUAACCUGUCUUUUGACUGUGCCACGUGAGUGAUGACAUUUAGAUGAGCAGGUUUAAUCAUUUCAGGAGGCUGAAAGUUACCCAGACACUGGGUGCCUGUGGCACCUUUACACCUGACAGAAGAAAAUGAACAUUGGAACCAUGUUCUCCAGGAGCGACCUUGGUUCCAUUUACCCCGGCUCUGCAGAGCACCCGGAAGGGGAAAGCACAGUGCAUCCAGUAAAGACCUGGGAAAUGCCACAGUUUGUACUUCUAGAAAGGGUGUUCAUCUGAAGGCACAAUUGUGAGAAGAUACACAUAAGCCGUAUUACCACCCAGGAUCCCAUACUUCACUGCGAGUCAGCUAAAGAUUUGGGCAGAACUUAUCCACUGAGAUUUCGGUUCUGCUCUUUUGGCUGUCAUAUUCCCUGGACGCCUCCCUUCACUCUCCAGGGAUGUGGCUCCAACAAACUGUCUUCUGGCUCUUUCAGUCCCUCAGCAAUGUAAUCAGCCAGCCUCCUGCUGCCAUGCCGUCCCCACCGCAAUGGACUGUGUCUCUUCAAACCCCUUGAGCCUUGGGAAGCCCCUGAAUACUUACUGAGCACUGGGCCAUGACCAGAGCAGUUUUCCAAGAAGUCUGACUGUGUGGAUGUGGGUGGCCUCUGGAAUGUCAGAAGACAAGGUGAACACUGUACUCCAUGUCCAUCACAAAGCACCAGCUUUGGUGAGCUACAGCCUGGCAUCCACAGCAUGUACAUAUUUCUAAAAAUAAUAAACAAUAUCUGUGUGUCUACUGGUGAGAGGGAAUUAUGUAUGACAAGCCACCAGCACAAUAACAAAAAGCUUUUUGUAUUUUUCUUCAAAUGUAAGACUCUAAUGUUUUUACAUAUGGAAGGACCUGUUUAUUUCAGCUUUCUAGUAUAAACAUUGUAUCUGAAGACUCCGGGACAUCCCUGUGAUGUAAAAAUCUCAGCUUUGUCUGGUUAGCAGAAAGAAUUGUUUCUCCUGACAUUUAGACCUAUGGAUUUAUUGCUGUGGCUUGAGGGAGGGAGAUUUAGUGUUUAUUUCUUUCUUAAUUGCCACUAAAAGACGAAACAUUUAAACAUUCCAAACACGUGUACCAAUAAACAUAAUGAAGAAGCACUAGAAAAAAAAAGUUUAAUGCCAUAACAUAUUUGGCAGUCAGAACUACUUGUACUGGGGAGUAUAUAAGUGAAUGUAAACAUUUACAAAGAAAUAAUCAACAGCACCGAAUAAAUAAACAAAUGAAUAAACAAGAAAGUAAAUACACUUCUGAAAUAAGUUCAAAACAGCCCAUUUUCCUUCCCAUUCGGUUAUAAAUUUCACAUGCAGUUUUCUUUGCAGACAAUUCUGUGUCAGGACUUUGGACUUUGUGUUCCAACUCUCUAAUCUACUCACCCUAAGAGUAGAGGAAGAAAGCUCUC